rnacentral:pre_miRNA from 1 species
UCUUAUGGAUGAGCAAAGAAAGUGGUUUCUUGAGAUGGAAUCCAUUCCUGGUCAAGAUGCUGUGAA